GUGCUCGCUUCAGCAGCACAGGUACUAAAAUUGGAACGAUAGAGAUGUGCAAGGCCCCUGCGCAAGGAGGACAUGCAAAGUUAUGAAGCGUUCCAUAUAUUU